rnacentral:hammerhead_ribozyme from 1 species
GCACUACUGAGGAGCCCCAGAAUAGGACGAAACAGCCGUUCAGUGC